rnacentral:snRNA from 1 species
GUUCAUUCCUGAACAUAUACUAAAAUUGGGACAAUACAGAGAAGUUUACCAUGGCCCCAGGAUGACAUGCAAACUUGUGAAGCGUUUCAAUAUCCU